UCUGUGCUAGGAGUAGGUCUGACAUGGGAGAAUCUGCUGUGUUUGGUGUGGCUUCAGAUGGAGUGUCUGGCAGAGGGCAGAGGCACAUAGGGAAUGUGAAGCCCUGCACUUGUGAAGGCCUAAGAAAAAAGACAAAGCUGCUGUACCUGGCAUCCCACUUGGGAAGGGAGGUGACCUUUGCUGGCAGGAACAAAAAAUUAGAGAAGAACCACUGAGGAAUCCAGAAUACCCCCUUGGCAUGUGAAACCCAACUGGAGCGAAAAGAGACAGCUGGGAGAGCACUGGGGCAGCCGUACCCAUUGUGCUGGAUGAGAGCAAAUGGUCAGGAUGGGUGAGAAGCUCCUCUGCAGCUGGGAGGGGCUGGCAGCCCUGCAGGGCCAGCCCAGGCACAGGAGAAGGAACCCCCAGCUGCCACUUACUCUGAAAGCGCUUGCAA
rnacentral:lncRNA from 12 species